AUUGAACGCUGGCGGCAGGCUUAACACAUGCAAGUCGAGCGGAGCGAGGGUGCUUGCACCUUAGCUUAGCGGCGGACGGGUGAGUAAUGCUUAGGAAUCUGCCUAUUAGUGGGGGACAACAUUCCGAAAGGAAUGCUAAUACCGCAUACGCCCUACGGGGGAAAGCAGGGGAUCUUCGGACCUUGCGCUAAUAGAUGAGCCUAAGUCGGAUUAGCUAGUUGGUGGGGUAAAGGCCUACCAAGGCGAUGAUCUGUAGCGGGUCUGAGAGGAUGAUCCGCCACACUGGGACUGAGACACGGCCCAGACUCCUACGGGAGGCAGCAGUGGGGAAUAUUGGACAAUGGGCGGAAGCCUGAUCCAGCCAUGCCGCGUGUGUGAAGAAGGCCUUUUGGUUGUAAAGCACUUUAAGCGAGGAGGAGGCUACUUAGAUUAAUACUCUGGGAUAGUGGACGUUACUCGCAGAAUAAGCACCGGCUAACUCUGUGCCAGCAGCCGCAGUAAAAC
rnacentral:rRNA from 1 species